rnacentral:rRNA from 1 species
UACGGAGGGGGCUAGCGUUGUUCGGAAUUACUGGGCGUAAAGCGCACGUAGGCGGAUUGUUAAGUCAGGGGUGAAAUCCCGGAGCUCAACUCCGGAACUGCCUUUGAUACUGGCAAUCUAGAGUCCGGAAGAGGUGAGUGGAACUCCUAGUGUAGAGGUGGAAUUCGUAGAUAUUAGGAAGAACACCAGUGGCGAAGGCGGCUCACUGGUCCGGUACUGACGCUGAGGUGCGAAAGCGUGGGGAGCAAACAGG